AAUAAAAAACCCCUAAGCAGUGUGCAAGGAUAUGGGAAAAGGGCGGCUACCACUAGAAAUAUCGCCGCUGGAUCGCGGCAUUCAAUUUUUGGAGGCACUUUUUCUUUCUUUGACAUUUCUCUUCGAACAUACCCUAACAAUGGAGCACAAUCUCUGAAAUCCACUUGCCAAUCCAUGGCUUUCUUUCGAAGGCUUCUCCCUCUCCCCUCCUCCCUUCUAAGGACGAAUAUUUCUUCCAUUACUGGAAUUCGAGAAGGUCUGGGAGGAAGCUUUCGGAGCUACAAUGCAGUUGCGUCAACUGAACAAACAGUUUUGAAAUUGGAUAAGGUAGAUGGUUUGGUUCUUGAUGGUGAAGUAGCAAAAAUUCGGGGCGAGUUUGAAGCAGCAAAGCAGGGUUUUUUGAGGAUUCCUGAGGCUGUCAAGGGAAUGCCAAAAAUGAACCCUGAAGGCAUAUAUGUGAAUAAGAACCUGAGAUUGGACAAUAUUCAAGUUUAUGGAUUUGAUUAUGACUAUACGUUGGCACAUUACUCUCCUAACUUGCAACAAUUGAUAUAUGAUCUUGCAAAAGAGCAUAUGGUUAAUGAGGUUAGAUUGAACUUUCGUUUUUUGCUGUUUUAUAAAUUUUAUCUUAUGUGGAAUUCUGUGAUAAGUGUUGCAUCUUGGUUUAUUUUUUGGCAGUUUAGAUACCCUGAGACAUGCUUGAAAUUCAGAUAUGAUCAAACCUUUCCCAUUAGAGGCCUAUCCUAUGACAAGAAAAAUGGAUGUCUCUUGAAGUUGGAUUUCUUUGGGUCAAUUGAGCCAGAUGGAUGCUACUUUGGGCGUCGCAAGCUCAACAGGAAGGAAAUAGAACAGAUAUAUGGCACAAGACAUAUUGGUCGUGACCAAGCACGUGGGCUUGUUGGCUUGAUGGAUUUCUUUUGCUUUAGUGAGGCUUGCCUUCUUGCAGAUGUUGUACAACAUUUUGUUGAUGCUAAACUGGAAUUUGAUGCAACUUACAUAUAUCAAGAUGUAGAUCGUGCAAUUCAGCAUGUUCAUCGCAGUGGGUUGGUUCACAGAGGAAUUCUUUCUGAUCCUUACAGAUACCUUGUAAAAAAUGGCCGAGUACUUCGCUUUCUUACAAUGCUAAGAGAGAAGGGAAAGAAGCUUUUCUUGCUCACUAACUCUCCUUACAAUUUUGUGGAUGGAGGGAUGCGCUUUAUGCUGGAGGAUUCUUUGGGUUACAGAGACUCUUGGAGGGAGCUUUUUGAUGUUGUUAUUGCCAAAGCCAAUAAGCCAGAGUUUUACACUUCGGAGCAUCCCUUUCGCUAUUAUGACAUGGAGAAGGACACCCUAGCUUUCAAUAAGGUGGAUGCGUUUCUUCCGAAUAAAAUUUAUUACCAUGGAUCACUGAAAUCGUUUCUCCAAAUUACCAAGUGGAAUGGUCCAGAGGUGAUUUAUUUUGGUGAUCACCUCUUUAGUGACCUAAGGGGGCCUUCAAAGGCUGGUUGGCGCACUGCUGCUAUAAUCCAUGAACUAGAAAAUGAAAUACGAAUUCAGAAUGAUGAUAAUUAUCGUUUUGAACAGGCAAAAUUUCAUAUCAUACAAGAACUGCUUGGUAAACUACAUGCAACUGUUGCAAAUAGUCAGAGAAGUGAAGUGUGUCAGUUGCUUUCAGAGGAGCUAAAUGAUGAGAGGCUAAAGGCAAGGCAGAAGAUGAAAAAAAUGUUUAACAAGUCUUUUGGAGCAACUUUCCUAACUGACAAAGGUCAAGAAUCAGCUUUUGCGUACUACAUCCAUCAAUAUGCAGAUGUCUAUACAAGCAAGCCUGAGAACUUUUUGCUCUAUCCGCCUGAAGCAUGGCUUCAUGUACCCUUUGAUAUCAAGAUCAUGCCACAUCAUGUGAAGGUUCCAUCAAGCUUAUUUAAGAAUCAAUAGAUUCUCAUUUUCAACAUGGUUAUCUUGGGCUGGUUUUGCGAAUAUUCAGCAAGUGACUCACAUUUUUGGAUGAUGACACUAAAGUUUGUUCAGAUAAUGAUGUUUCAGCAACGAGGACAUGGGAGUACCCUUUCAGUUAUUUCAAUAGGACUAGGCAGUCAAUUUUUUUAAUAAAUAAAGCUGAUUAUUUGACCUCUUUAUACACGAGUGCAGUUGGUGGUAGAAAUUGCGUUGUUCUUUUGCUGUAGUUUCAGAACCAAUUAUAUAAUAAGAGGGACUUGUGCCUUGAACUGCAACUCGGUAUACAGUUGAAGCCGGAACGAGAUUGUUUCCCCUGACACUUGAAAUCCUGUAGUAAGAUUUAUUAUCUCCGAUGGUUGUGUAGUUGGGCACUCUAAUCCUAUCUAGUUACUAUAUGCCUAACAUGUGGUUUUAUGAGCAAUCUGGCGUGGAUAUACGGGAGAAGGUUAGGCACCGAAGUUGUCAGCUGUAUUUCCUAAACUUGCACGCGCACGGCAACCCAACAAAGGGCAGAAGGCUUGAGCAGCCAGCAUUAUUAGAUAUCCUUUGGAUGGUAUCGGCUAAAUAAUGAGCUGUCCUUGAUUUUUAUUAGGCAA